GGCUGGUCUGAUGGUAAUGGGUUAUCAGAAUUUAUUAACAUUAGUGUCACUAAAAGUUGGUAUUCAACCCACCACUGCUAAAUUUGACUGGCUAAAA
rnacentral:Y_RNA from 1 species